rnacentral:lncRNA from 1 species
AGAUGAUAACACAAUACAAACAUGGAAUUCACUAUAUUCAUAUUUUUAAUGAUAUGUUUUAUAAGUCUAAAUUCCUUUUAAUAUUCCUCUGAUAUACAAAUCUUCUGAAAACUUUAAUAUUAUCAAGGUUUAUAACCGACUUAAUAUUAGAAUUGAGACUCUCUUCAGGUAUUUUAAUAUUACAGUAGCUGAGUAGCAAUUAACACACAGUACAUUGUAAUUGUUUUUGUUCUUGAAAAUUGUCCUUUCCACGCGCUCUUUCAACCAUUAGAAACAUAAUAGCGUUAAACGGCUAAAUUAUGCUGGAGGAACCACAAAUGUCUCUACAUUUAAAGCUUUUUCAAACUGACACAGAGGUGAAUGGACAAGAUUACAAUUAAUUGUGACAUUUUUCUUCGACAACAGCACUCUUCGCGGCUCCUGUCGGCUCUAUACUGACCCUGUUUCACACGCAAUAUUUUCCUUAUUCAGUCGCUAACACACCUUUUGUAUCCCACUAUGAAGAACAUCAACAUUUCCACCAAAACCCCGAAAAAAUCAUCAUUUUAUACACGAAACAAUAAAAUAUUUCAAACAAUUUGUUUUGCUUUGGCAACGCAUGCGCAGUUCGGUCGACAUACAGUUUUCUGUAUGUCUG